rnacentral:rRNA from 1 species
AGAGUUUGAUCCUGGCUCAGGAUGAACGCCGGCGGUGUGCCUAAUACAUGCAAGUCGUACGCACUGGCCCAACUGAUUAAUGGUGCUUGCACCUGAUUGACGAUGGAUCACCAGUGAGUGGCGGACGGGUGAGUAACACGUAGGUAACCUGCCCCGGAGCGGGGGAUAACAUUUGGAAACAGAUGCUAAUACCGCAUAACAACAAAAGCCACAUGGCUUUUGUUUGAAAGAUGGCUUUGGCUAUCACUCUGGGAUGGACCUGCGGUGCAUUAGCUAGUUGGUAAGGUAACGGCUUACCAAGGCGAUGAUGCAUAGCCGAGUUGAGAGACUGAUCGGCCACAAUGGAACUGAGACACGGUCCAUACUCCUACGGGAGGCAGCAGUAGGGAAUCUUCCACAAUGGGCGCAAGCCUGAUGGAGCAACACCGCGUGAGUGAAGAAGGGUUUCGGCUCGUAAAGCUCUGUUGUUGGAGAAGAACGUGCGUGAGAGUAACUGUUCACGCAGUGACGGUAUCCAACCAGAAAGUCACGGCUAACUACGUGCCAGCAGCCGCGGUAAUACGUAGGUGGCAAGCGUUAUCCGGAUUUAUUGGGCGUAAAGCGAGCGCAGGCGGUUGCUUAGGUCUGAUGUGAAAGCCUUCGGCUUAACCGAAGAAGUGCAUCGGAAACCGGGCGACUUGAGUGCAGAAGAGGACAGUGGAACUCCAUGUGUAGCGGUGGAAUGCGUAGAUAUAUGGAAGAACACCAGUGGCGAAGGCGGCUGUCUGGUCUGCAACUGACGCUGAGGCUCGAAAGCAUGGGUAGCGAACAGGAUUAGAUACCCUGGUAGUCCAUGCUGUAAACGAUGAGUGCUAGGUGUUGGAGGGUUUCCGCCCUUCAGUGCCGGAGCU